UACGGGGGGAGCAAGCGUUGUUCGGAAUCACUGGGCGUAAAGGGAGUCUAGGCGGUUUGGUAAGUGGGAUGUGAAAUCCCCGGGCUCACCCCGGGACCUGCAUCCCAAACUGCUGAGCUUGAGUACAGGAGAGGGUGGGGGAAUUCCAGGUGUAGCGGUGAAAUGCGUAGAUAUCUGGAGGAACACCGGUGGCGAAGGCGCCCACCUGGCCUGCUACUGACGCUGAGGCACGAAGGCCAGGGGAGCAAACGGG
rnacentral:rRNA from 1 species